CAAACGGUUCUUUUCAGAACCACCAAAUUUUUCGAUAAUGGAACACU
rfam:Cerapachys biroi unplaced genomic scaffold scaffold109, whole genome shotgun sequence.